CUUGUUUGGAAGUUGUUAAAAAGAAAGCUUCAGGUCCCCUUGAUGACAAUAAAGAUGGUGAUUCUUCGGUCGAAAAGAGUACAUUUAUACAUGACCAUGGAACCGAUGGAAAUGUGAAUGCAGCAUUGUUUUCUGAGGUAACAAUUUGAGCAAAGACAUUCCUAAAUGAGGCACAAACGGUGUAUCCCCAGCUAUGUCAGCCACUAAUUUCUUCUUAAAUGACUGUUUAAGCACCCAUAUUUCUUGAAAAAAAAAUUAUAUUGUCAAAUUUCUUUUUCUUACUUAUUAUACAGAUAUAUAGGAUUCCGACACGAGUUGUCAUUUAUACAAGAUUUUAUUAAUAAUUGUUCAUAAAAUUUGUUAGUAAGCGAGCCUCUGGGGAGCUUACUAACAACUUUCAUGGACGAGUUUAAUAAAAAUCUUCUAUAAAAUGACAACGAGUGUAAGACUUUUUUAUCACAUGCUUAAAACGGUGUUUUUAUUACCAAUUUAGUUCCACUUUCUGAACCGAUUGUUUGACAGCCAAUGUUCUCAGAGUGGAAUGUCAAUGAUGCGCCAUAUGAAUAGUUCCUAAUGAAAAUGAAAAAAAAAAAUAGCUAUCAGUUAUCGAGUUUUAUUUCUGAUGAAGCGCUAAACAAGUCACAAAUAUAAAAAUGUGUAGUAAAAUAUUCAACAACCUGAAUAACGAACAAUUUUAACAAAAAAACAAACAAUAAGUACACAAUUUGAUGACGUCACACUGAGAGUACAUGCAUGUACGCGGUUUAUGUGACCAUCAUCGGUCUGUCAAGUGUUACUGUGUGCACGGAUUUCAAAGUUAUUCGCUGUCGCUUUCUACGAUGAUUUUGGAGCGUUUUCUUAGUGUUCCUGGAUUUUUACAACAUGCAGAUGAUUACGGCGAAGCCUUACUCUCUACUGCAUGGAUGUUGAUGUUGAAAAAUUUCCACCAAAAAAGUUACCCGAGAACAUGAUGUUCUAGCCGUCAUUGCCAUGGGAUGUGUAAAGAGAAGCCUGUGUUGCGGAAUUCUUAUUUGUGUUUUUGGUAACCGACAGUUCUUCAAACUGUCAAGAAAAAGGCAUUGAUUGCAUAUUGCCUGUGUUUGUCAGGAUGAAGAUGUUUGAAAUGUUCUCGUGUUGUUUAUCACUAAUGUGGCUGUAUUUGUUGACUGACUGGAUUUUUCUGUGACUAGUGAUCUGCAUUAUCUGGUCGGAGGAACAUUGUUAUCAGAAAGUUUUCGAAAAAGAUGCUUUCUGGCAUUAUGAUUCGUUAGCAAUUUGUCUCCCGGAAGUCCUACAGCUUCAUUAUUGAGGUAGGUAAGUAUUUGUUGGCGUUUAAACCAUUUUUUUACAAACAAUGCGGAUGUAUAUCUAGGUCGCGUGUGAUUAGCCAAUAUAAAUGACUGAUAUGUUAUCUUACUCAUAUGUAGGAUAAAAAUAUUCGUAAUGGGUAUAUUACACGGAAAACAAGGGUAAGCAUGUGAUAAAUUGUUUAUACGGAUUUUAAAUAUGAAAUCCCUUAAGCAGUUUAACAACUUUUAAAUUAAGAAUAUUACUCUGGUUACUAGUAUACCAAAUAAAUAACAGCGUUCUGAGGUGACACAUCUUUAAAAUGACUUAAGAUUGGGGCCAUAUAGGUCAUUUCAUCAAGAAUCUUAGGAGCAGUUUUGUUCCUAGGAGACAUUUUGCAGUGAGGUACCACUGUUUAAAGCACAUCCUAGUUGCACAAUUGAUGUAUUCAAGUAUUGACGAAUUGCCACCCCCAGUGCUAACAAUACUAUUACUUCUACUUGAACAAAACAACAAGACAUGUAUCACACUAUUUUAGGUAGAACUGAAACUGAAACUGUAUGUAACAUGACUGUGAAUAACAUUAGGAAACUGCAUCUAAUUAGCUACAUAGAAUUUUCAGACUGUCUACUGAUGUUUAAAAUCUCACUAAAUCAUCAUGAUAAGUAACUCUUUCUGACAUAUUAUUGAAAUUAUGGCCUUUUUACUUAAAAAUAUGGUUAGGGUAUUGAUUUUGACCACAAUUGUUUCCAUAACUCAGCAAAUAUAUCAUGUAUUUCACUAACUCUUUAUACAAUUUAGUUAGAUAACUCAGUACUUCACAUGAUGUAAAUAUGCCGCUUUAAUAUUUGACUUUGUUUUGCAUGUUAGCACAUAUAAUGUCAUGCUUAGUUCACUAACUCAAGCUAAUAUAAACCCUUGUCAGAUUUUUGGACAGAAUAGUGUAAUUUGUUUAAGUGCAGGCGGGAAGCUGUUUAAACAAAGUAAUACUACGGCAACUUCAUACAUGGUCGCAAUACACUGUGGUGGAAAUAAAUUUGGAAGAAUGAAAUAAAUUUCACCUCGUUGGCACCGAAAAAACUAUUGGCUACAUCACUAGUUGAAUAUAUGUUUUGGUGCUCACUAGGUUAAAUAUUUUACGAUCUGAAACAGACAAUUAUCCUCUUUACUUUUGUAUCUGUUUUUUUUUUGUAUUUGUUUAAAGCAUUAAUAAAUUCCACUUUUGGCAAUCGGCUAAUCCUAAAUUCUUAUUUUCUGUUUUGAUAUGACGCUCGUUUUAAAAUGUGGAUAUAAAUACCACAUAUCCUAAUAUUUGCAUUACAGUUUAAACUUGAACUGGGAAUGGAAACCAUGUAUAUCAGUCUACUAGUUCAAAAAGCGCAUUUAAAGCUUAACAAAGACAUGUUUUUAUAUUUUAAGGUAAAAAAUGUAUUUUUGAAUUUAUUUAGUGCAAAAUAACGUUUAGAGGAACCUACGGUACUUUCCAUGUUUUUUUUAUUUAGAUAAGAAAGCGUUCAAACAUAAAAUUACAUUAUGUCACACACAUUAUAUGAAACUAUGGAGUACAAUACUGAGAAAACUAAGAAAUGGUAUUUAAAUCUAAGAACUUGAUUAAGCAAAUGCAUUUACAAUACUUGUAUACGCUUUUUUUUUGAAAAGAUUUCAUACCGGAUAAAAUGUGUUCGUGUUCUUUAAAAAGUCAAUAUGUGUCACUUUUUCUUACAUAACAAUAUGCCAUCAAUUAAACACUGUUUUAUUUAUUAUAAUGAUAUGAUGCGCAAGUAAGAUCAGUUUUUUUGGCAUUAAGGGAGUGUAGAGUUCUUUUUUUUAUCUUUUUUUAGUUAUGCAUAAUUGAAGGAUAAUACAGCAUUCCUUAAUUUCACAGAAUUCAUACAAAUAAAUAGCAAAAUAUAGUAAAUACGUGACAUAGCUUAAAUUAUAUAGCUUUACUUUCUUUCUUUGUGGACUUGUUUCUACAAUUUAGCUAUAUGGACAUAAAUUAUUGGUAUAAUAUAUAUUGUAUAUAUAAUGUGUGUGAUAUAUCUUAUACACUGUUUUGUGUGAUAUUCCUUUGUAAACGACUGGUGCGAUAUUGUUUAUAUAAAUGUUUUGUGUUAUAUUUCUUAUAUAAAUGAUUUGUGUGAAACCAAUUAGAUAUAUGUUUGUGUGAAGUCAAUUAAUUAAAUUUGAUUUGUGUGAAAUGUUUUAUACAUAUGAUAUGUCUAACAAAUCUUUUAUACAUGAAACGUGAGCUUUUUUUUAUGUAGAUGAGUUUAUUAGUAUUUGUUUUAUUAUUAAGUUUCCUCAAGUAAAUGCAUUUUGAUAAGAUUUACCUUUUGCCUUUUUUCUUUGUUUAGGAUUGUUGGGAUAAGAGUGAGGUUUGUGCACUUAAACUAGUUAAACCCCUAGUAAAUUUACAUUUUACUGACUGUUCCAAGGCGGUACCUAACAAUCCUUGAUAAACAUACCUAGUUUUAUAUAUAUAUAUAUAUACAUACUAAAGUAUGUAUGCAAUGUGAUGUUUGUGGAGUUUUGUGUUGAUUUUCCAUGUUUCUUGUUUGUGAUUUUUUUGUUUUUAUGUUCUUUGUCUUUGGCGUUUACCCAUUGCCAUUAAACCGGGUUUAUGUUUAAACUUUUGCUACUAAGCUUGUUUCUGUAGUUUUCGCAUAAAUAUUGCUUGAUAUUUCUUGUAAACGAGUUGCUUGAUAUUCUUUACAUAAAUGAUGUGUUAUAUAGUUCUUAUUUACAUAUCAUUUGUGUGAUAUUUUUAUGUAAAUGAUGUGUGUGAUCUAUAUUGUAUUAAAUAUGUGUUCUGUAUUUCUUGUCUCGUGUGUGAUAUUUAUAA